rnacentral:rRNA from 1 species
CCUACGGGAGGCAGCAGUGGGGGAUAUUGCACAAUGGGGGAAACCCUGAUGCAGCGACGCCGCGUGAGUGAAGAAGUAUUUCGGUUUGUAAAGCUCUAUCAUCAGGGAAGAAAAUGACGGUACCUGACUAAGAAGCUCCGGCUAACUACGUGCCAGCAGCCGCGGUAAUACGUAGGGGGCCAGCGUUAUCCGGAUUUACUGGGUGUAAAGGGAGCGUAGACGGUGCAGCAAGUCUGAUGUGAAAGGUCGGGGCCCAACCCCGGGACUGCAUUGGAAACUGUUGGACUGGAGUGCAGGAGAGGUAGGCGGAAUUCCUAGUGUAGCGGUGAAAUGCGUAGAUAUUAGGAGGAACACCAGUGGCGAAGGCGGCUUACUGGACUGUAACUGACGCUGAGGCUCGAAAGCGUGGGGAGCAAACAGGAUUAGAUACCCGAGUAGUC